GAUGAACGCUGGCGGCGUGCCUAAUACAUGCAAGUCGAGCGAACGGACGAGAAGCUUGCUUCUCUGAUGUUAGCGGCGGACGGGUGAGUAACACGUUGAUAACCUACCUAUAAGACUGGGGUAACUUCGGGAAACCGGAGCUAAUACCGGAUAAUAUUUUGAACCGCAUGGUUCAAAAGUGAAAGACGGUCUUGCUGUCACUUAUAGAUGGAUCCGCGCUGCAUUAGCUAGUUGGUAAGGUAACGGCUUACCAAGGCAACGAUGCAUAGCCGACCUGAGAGGGUGAUCGGCCACACUGGAACUGAGACACGGUCCAGACUCCUACGGGAGGCAGCAGUAGGGAAUCUUCCGCAAUGGGCGAAAGCCUGACGGAGCAACGCCGCGUGAGUGAUGAAGGUCUUCGGAUCGUAAAACUCUGUUAUUAGGGAAGAACAUAUGUGUAAGUAACUGUGCACAUCUUGACGGUACCUAAUCAGAAAGCCACGGCUAACUACGUG
rnacentral:rRNA from 1 species